GUUGAGAUCGCAUAGCUUGGUAGUGCGCCAGCCUGGAAAGCUGGUCGGCUUCGGCCCUCGGGGGUUCAAAUCCCCCUCUCAACG
rnacentral:tRNA from 1 species